rnacentral:rRNA from 1 species
AACGCGAAGAACCUUACCAGGAUUUGACAUCCAACUAACGAAGUAGAGAUACAUUAGGUACCCUUCGGGGAAAGUGGAGACAGGUGGUGCAUGGUUGUCGUCAGCUCGUGUCGUGAGAUGUUGGGUUAAGUCCCGCAACGAGCGCAACCCCUAUUGUUAGUUGCUACGCAAGAGCACUCUAGCGAGACUGCCGUUGACAAAACGGAGGAAGGCGGGGACGACGUCAAAUCAUCAUGCCCCUUAUGUCCUGGGCUACACACGUAAUACAAUGGCGGUCAACAGAGGGAAGCAAAGCCGCGAGGUGGAGCAAAUCCCUAAAAGCCGUCUCAGUUCGGAUUGCAGGCUGCAACUCGCCUGCAUGAAGCUGGAAUUGCUAGUAAUCGCGGAUCAGCAUGCUGCGGUGAAUACGUUCUCGGGUCUUGUACACACGC